rnacentral:rRNA from 1 species
AUUGAACGCUGGCGGCACGCCUUACACAUGCAAGUCGAACGGUAACAGGUCUUCGGAUGCUGACGAGUGGCGAACGGGUGAGUAAUACAUCGGAACGUGCCUAGUAGUGGGGGAUAACUACUCGAAAGAGUGGCUAAUACCGCAUGAGAUCUACGGAUGAAAGCAGGGGAUCGCAAGACCUUGUGCUACUAGAGCGGCCGAUGGCAGAUUAGGUAGUUAGUGGGAUAAAAGCUUACCAAGUCGACGAUCUGUAGCUGGUCUGAGAGGACGAUCAGCCACACUGGGACUGCGACACGGCCCAGACUCCUACGGGAGGCAGCAGUGGGGAAUUUUGGACAAUGGGCGCAAGCCUGAUCCAGCAAUGCCGCGUGCAGGAUGAAGGCCUUCGGGUUGUAAACUGCUUUUGUACGGAACGAAAAGCCCUGGGUUAAUACCCUGGGGUCAUGACGGUACCGUAAGAAUAAGCACCGGCUAACUACGUGCCAGCCGCCGCGGUAACAC